AAAAACAAAAACCCCCCAACGCGUAAACGCGCCCAUUCCUCUUUUUUCUAUUUGCCUUUUGCAUUUCCCCCCUUUCUGUUUUUGAUUCGCUGGGCACGUUCUGCCCAUCUCUAUCUCUCUCUUCUCCAAACUAAAAACCAACCUCGAUUUUCACUAAACCCGAACACUAUGAGCUACCACCGCCAACGUCCACCUCCGAGCCCGAACCCGAGACAAACCCGGCCCAGUCCAGCCCCACCGCCAUUAGAAUCCGAUCCAUACAACAUAAUCCCCAUCCACAACCUCCUCGCGGAGCACCCGUCGCUCAGAUUCCCGGAGGUCCGAGCCAUUACCACCGCGCUCCGAGCCGUCGGCGACCUCAGGAAGCCGCCGCACAACCAAUGGGCUCCGCACAUGGACCUCCUGGACUGGCUCGCCCUCUUCUUCGGCUUCCAGAACGACAACGUUCGCAACCAGCGCGAGCACCUCGUUCUCCACCUCGCCAACGCUCAGAUGCGCCUCUCUCCUCCGCCGGACAACAUCGACGCCCUGGACGCCGCCGUUUUGCGCAAGUUUCGGAGGAAGCUCCUCAAGAACUACACCAACUGGUGCUCCUAUCUCGGCAAGAAAUCCAAUAUCUGGAUCUCCGAUCGCCGCGAGGCCGCCGCCGAUCACCGCCGGGAGCUGCUCUACGUGUCGCUCUUCCUUCUGAUUUGGGGUGAGUCUGCUAACCUCCGCUUUGUUCCUGAGUGCAUUUGCUUUAUAUUUCAUAACAUGGCCAUGGAGUUGAACAAGAUCUUAGAGGAUUACAUAGAUGAGAACACCGGCCAACCUGUGCAGCCCUCGGUCUCCGGCGAAAACGCGUUUUUGAACUGCGUUGUGAAGCCGAUUUACGAGACGAUUAGGGCUGAGGUGGAGAGUAGUAAGAAUGGCACUGCGCCGCACAGUGUGUGGCGCAAUUACGACGACAUUAACGAGUACUUUUGGAGUAAACGGUGUUUUCAGAAGCUCAGAUGGCCGAUUGAUUUAGGAAGUAAUUUCUUUGUGACGGGUGAGGGUGGCGCGAGAAGAAAACAUGUAGGGAAGACUGGUUUUGUGGAGCAGAGAUCGUUUUGGAACUUGUUUAGGAGCUUUGACAGGCUUUGGGUGAUGCUUGUGUUGUUUUUACAGGCGGCGAUUAUUGUGGCGUGGGAAGAGAGGAGAUAUCCAUGGGAAGCUCUGCAGUCUAGGGAUGUCCAAGCGAAAGUUUUGACAGUGUUUUUCACUUGGAGUGGGAUGAGGUUUUUGCAGUCUCUGCUGGAUGCAGGGAUGCAAUACAGUUUGGUUUCGAGGGAGACGAUGGGGCUUGGCGUGAGGAUGGUGAUGAAGAGUGUGGUUGCAGCCAUGUGGAUCUUGGUUUUUGGUGUGUUUUAUGGGCGGAUAUGGACGCAGAGGAAUCGCGAUAGGAGGUGGUCUGCAGAGGCUAAUAGGAGGUUGGUUACUUUUCUUGAGGUGGCAUUGGUUUUCAUUUUGCCGGAGCUUCUGGCCGUGGCGCUCUUUGUGAUUCCAUGGAUCAGGAAUUUCCUCGAGGAGACGAAUUUGAAGAUCUUUUAUAUGUUGACUUGGUGGUUUCAAGGGAGGACCUUUGUGGGUCGUGGGUUGAGGGAAGGUCUUGUGGAUAAUAUCAAGUACAGUUUGUUUUGGAUUGUGGUGCUUGCUACCAAAUUUUUGUUCAGUUACUUCUUGCAGGUUAAACCGAUGAUUGCCCCAACGAAAGCAUUGUUGGAUUUGAAGGAUGUGCAGUAUCAUUGGUAUCAGCUUUUUAACAAUAGCAACAGAUUGGCAGUGGGCUUACUGUGGAUUCCUGUUAUUCUGAUUUACCUCAUGGAUAUUCAGAUUUGGUAUUCAAUCUACUCGUCUUUUGUUGGGGCGGGUGUGGGAUUGUUUCAGCACUUGGGUGAGAUUCGAAAUAUUGAACAGUUGAGGUUGAGGUUCCAAUUCUUUGCAAGUGCUAUUCAGUUUAAUCUCAUGCCGGAGGAGCAGCUGUUAAAUGCAAGGGGGAUGAGGAACAGGUUUAAGGAUGCCUUUUAUCGAUUGAAGCUGAGAUAUGGGCUUGGUCGGCCCUAUAGGAAGCUUGAAUCUAGUCAGGUUGAGGCGAAGAGGUUUGCUUUGAUAUGGAAUGAGAUAAUUUCGAUUUUCAGGGAAGAAGACAUCAUCUCUGACCGUGAGCAGGAGCUGUUGGAGCUGCCCCAGAAUUCUUGGAAUGUCAGGGUCAUUCGAUGGCCUUGUUUCCUCCUCUGUAAUGAGCUUCUGCUUGCGCUCAGUCAGGCCAAAGAGUUGGUAGAUGCUCCUGACAAGUGGCUCUGGUAUAAGAUAUGCAAGAAUGAGUACAGGCGUUGCGCUGUGAUUGAAGCUUAUGAUUGUAUCAAACACUUGCUGCUUGAGAUUAUCAAACGCAACACAGAAGAGCAUUCCAUUAUGACCGUAUUUUUUCAAGAGAUUGAUCACUCCAUUGAGAUUGAGAGGUUCACUAAAACAUUUAACAUGACUGUUCUGCCUCAGCUUCAUACCCAGUUAAUCAAACUUGUUCAGCUAUUGAACAAGCCAAAGAAAGAUCCUACCCAGGUAGUGAACACUCUGCAAGCCAUUUAUGAGAUUGCUAAACGGGACCUUUUCAAAGACAAGAGGAGCAUUGACCAGCUGAGGGAGGAUGGUCUGGCUCCUCGUAGUCCAGCUUCCACACAGGGGCUGCUUUUUGAGAAUGCUGUUGAAUUGCCUAAUUCAGAUAAUGAGACAUUCUAUAGGCAGGUUCGGCGGUUGCACACAAUUCUUACCUCUCGGGACUCAAUGCACGAUAUCCCAGUAAAUCUUGAGGCAAGACGCCGAAUUGCCUUCUUCAGUAAUUCACUUUUCAUGAACAUGCCUCAUGCCCCUCAGGUUGAGAAAAUGAUGGCCUUCAGUGUUCUGACCCCUUAUUACAGUGAAGAAGUAAUCUAUAGCAAAGAACAACUCAAAUCUGAGAAUGAAGAUGGUAUUUCGAUCCUGUACUAUUUGCAGACAAUUUAUGCCGAUGAGUGGAAAAAUUUCAUGGAGAGAAUGCGCCGAGAAGGGAUGGUGAGGGAUACCGAGAUAUGGAAUACUAAGCUGAGAGAUCUCAGGCUUUGGGCAUCAUACAGGGGUCAGACACUCUCCCGAACUGUUAGGGGAAUGAUGUAUUACUAUCGGGCUCUUAAGAUGCUGGCAUUUCUGGAUUCUGCAUCGGAGAUGGACAUUCGGGAAGGAUCACAAGAACUUGGUUCGAUGAGGCGAGACAGCGGUUUUGAUGGUUACUCCUCGGAAAGGUCACCAUCUUCUAGGAGAUUAAGCAGAGCAAGCAGUUCAAUGGACUUGUUACUCAAAGGCCACGAGUAUGGUACUGCAUUGAUGAAAUUUACAUAUGUGGUUGCCUGCCAGAUAUAUGGAACUCAGAAGGCAAAGAAAGAUCCACAUGCCGAGGAAAUCUUGUAUCUAAUGAAAAACAAUGAAGCCCUUCGAGUUGCCUACGUUGAUGAAGUUUCCACUGGGAGGGAUGAGAAGGAGUUUUAUUCUGUUCUUGUGAAGUAUGAUCACCAAUUGGAGAGGGAAGUGGAGAUCUACAGGGUAAAGUUACCUGGUCCCUUGAAGCUUGGUGAGGGAAAACCAGAGAAUCAAAAUCAUGCCAUCAUUUUCACUCGUGGUGAUGCUGUCCAGACUAUUGAUAUGAACCAAGAAAACUAUUUUGAAGAGGCACUCAAAAUGCGCAAUCUGUUGGAAGAAUUCAGGCAUUAUUAUGGUAUCCGGAAGCCUACUAUCUUGGGAGUUAGGGAACACAUUUUUACAGGUUCUGUUUCAUCACUUGCUUGGUUUAUGUCGGCUCAGGAAACGAGUUUUGUCACCUUGGGGCAGCGUGUUUUGGCGAACCCUUUAAAAGUUCGAAUGCAUUAUGGCCAUCCAGAUGUGUUUGACAGGUUUUGGGUCAUGACUCGUGGUGGGAUCAGUAAAGCUUCCAGAGUGAUUAAUAUCAGUGAGGACAUUUUUGCUGGCUUUAACUGCACAUUGCGUGGAGGGAAUGUCACUCACCAUGAAUACAUCCAGGUCGGCAAGGGAAGGGAUGUUGGGUUGAAUCAAGUAUCCAUGUUUGAGGCCAAGGUGGCUAGUGGAAAUGGUGAGCAAGUUCUUAGCAGAGAUAUCUACAGGUUGGGUCAUAGGUUGGACUUCUUCCGAAUGCUGUCAUUCUUUUACACUACUGUGGGAUUCUUUUUCAACACAAUGGUGGUGAUUCUGACUGUAUAUGCAUUUCUGUGGGGCCGACUCUAUCUUGCUCUUAGUGGUGUUGAGGCUUCUUCUGAGGCUAGUACUAAUAACAAUGCAGCACUUGGUGCAAUCUUGAAUCAGCAGUUCAUCAUCCAGCUUGGUCUGUUCACUGCCCUUCCGAUGAUAGUGGAAAACUCUCUUGAGCAUGGGUUCCUUCAAGCUAUCUGGGAUUUUCUGACAAUGCAGCUCCAGCUUUCAUCCGUAUUCUACACGUUCUCAAUGGGAACUCGUGCCCACUACUUUGGCCGUACUAUUCUUCAUGGUGGUGCAAAAUAUCGGGCUACCGGGCGUGGUUUUGUUGUGGAACACAAGGGUUUUGCCGAGAAUUAUAGACUCUAUGCUCGUAGCCAUUUUGUGAAGGCAAUUGAACUUGGGUUAAUACUUGUAGUUUAUGCAUCACACAGUCCUAUAGCUGGCAACACAUUUGUUUACAUAGCCUUGACCAUCACUAGUUGGUUCCUGGUUGUGUCAUGGAUUAUGGCCCCCUUUGUGUUCAAUCCUUCUGGAUUUGAUUGGUUGAAGACAGUUUAUGACUUUGAUGACUUUAUGAACUGGAUUUGGUUCCGUGGCAGUGUUUUUGCAAAAGCUGAACAGAGUUGGGAAAGAUGGUGGUAUGAGGAGCAAGAUCAUCUCAGGAACACUGGCAUUUGGGGUAAAAUAAUGGAAAUAAUCUUAGACCUCCGAUUCUUCUUCUUCCAGUAUGGGGUAGUAUAUCAACUAGAUAUUGCAGCUGGAAGUACCAGCAUUGCUGUUUACUUGUUGUCUUGGAUCUAUGUAUUUGUGGCUUUUGCGAUUUAUGCGGUAAUAGCAUUUGCUCGGGAUAAAUAUGCGGCAAAAGAGCACAUAUACUAUCGUCUAGUCCAAUUCCUUGUGAUUAUACUUGCAAUACUUGUGACAAUUGCUCUGCUGCAAUUUACGGCUUUCACAUUUAUUGAUAUUUUCACUAGCAUGUUAGCAUUCAUCCCCACUGGGUGGGGCCUGAUAUUGAUUGCCCAAGUACUCCGGCCCUUUCUGCCUACUCUUGUUUGGGAAAGCGUUGUUUCUGUGGCUCGACUAUAUGAUAUAGUGUUCGGAGUAAUUGUCAUGGCUCCUGUGGCAUUACUGUCAUGGUUGCCUGGGUUUCAGUCAAUGCAGACAAGGAUCCUUUUCAAUGAAGCAUUUAGUAGGGGCCUCCGCAUUAACCAGCUUGUUGCAGGAAAAAAAUCCAAUGACUUAUAAUUUGAGGUUUGAUUUUAGCACGAGGUGUAGAGAAACAAUAGAAUUGGAGAAGAUUGAUUUGUUUUUGCUUUGUGGAGGUUCUUAUGUGCACGUCAGAGUGGACUUCCAUUUUAUUUCAUUUCAAUCUCAGUCAGGAGGUAAAGGACAAUACCAUGUGAUGCUUUAUUGCAGGCUUCAUUUUACCUUUAGUAAUGUAAUUAGUUAAAAUUUCUCAUAUUUGAUCUGAUAUUUGGUCGGGGGGCUCUUAUUUAUAUUUGCUCAACUUCCCACUUCCCCCAUAUUUCUGAAGGUACAGCUCUUGGCAUAGUGUUUAUACAGAGUACAGAGAAUAGUGUGGUUUUGCUCAGAUUUUUAGAGUAUUUAUUAUUCUUUUGUCAGAAA